UGCGAAUUCUGUGGAUCGAACACAGGACCUCCAGAUUUCAAUUGACCGAAGUUAUUCUUCAGUCUGGCGCUCUCCCAACUGAGCUAAAUCCGCUUAUUUAU
rnacentral:tRNA from 1 species